GCGAGUCUGGGGAGAGCACAGUCGGUUGAGUCGCUGCGUUUGGUCAGUUGCACCUUCUGGGUCACUGGUAGCCGCGGGAGCCGGGUGGGGCCUAGGCGAUGAUCCGGCAUUAAGGAGCUGGGAUCAUCCUCCGUCUCAGGUGGUUUGGGGAAAGUGUAGGGGCAACCAAAGAUCAUCGGCUUGACUAGGCCCUUUGCCCUGAACCUCAUGAAGAAAUGAUAGGAGGCAGACAUAUGUGCCUAAAAAGAGCGUUGAGCUCAGAGAAGAGCAACUCGGAGUUUUGGGGGUGUGCUUUAAUCAUCCAGCGAAUCAGAUCACUUCCGCUGUCGUGACCGAUUGAGUCCAUGGGCUGCCAGAUCAACGCACAGGGGAACUCGAAGUCUUCCUACAGUAGAAGUUACCGAGAAGGUCAACACUAUAACAAGUACUUUACAGGAUACCAGUCGGAACCUGCGACAAGUGGACCAGAUGCUUGGACGAUACCGAGAAUACAGUAAUGGACAGGCGGGUGCGAUAGAACAUGUGAGA
rnacentral:lncRNA from 1 species